rnacentral:rRNA from 1 species
CCUACGGGCGGCUGCAGUGGGGAAUAUUGGACAAUGGGCGAAAGCCUGAUCCAGCCAUGCCGCGUGUGUGAAGAAGGCCUUCGGGUUGUAAAGCACUUUCAGUGGGGAAGAAAGCCUUGGGGCUAAUACCCUCGAGGAAGGACAUCACCCACAGAAGAAGCACCGGCUAACUCCGUGCCAGCAGCCGCGGUAAUACGGAGGGUGCGAGCGUUAAUCGGAAUUACUGGGCGUAAAGCGCGCGUAGGCGGUCUGAUAAGCCGGUUGUGAAAGCCCCGGGCUCAAUCUGGGAACGGCAUCCGGAACUGUCAGGCUAGAGUGCAGGAGAGGAAGGUAGAAUUCCCGGUGUAGCGGUGAAAUGCGUAGAGAUCGGGAGGAAUACCAGUGGCGAAGGCGGCCUUCUGGACUGACACUGACGCUGAGGUGCGAAAGCGUGGGUAGCAAACAGGAUUAGAUACCCUUGUAGUC